AGCGGCGGACGGGUGAGUAACACGUGGGUAACCUGCCCAAGAGACUGGGAUAACACCUGGAAACAGAUGCUAAUACCGGAUAACAACACUAGACGCAUGUCUAGAGUUUGAAAGAUGGUUCUGCUAUCACUCUUGGAUGGACCUGCGGUGCAUUAGCCAGUUGGUAAGGUAACGGCUUACCAAGGCAAUGAUGCAUAGCCGAGUUGAGAGACUGAUCGGCCACAUUGGGACUGAGACACGGCCCAAACUCCUACGGGAGGCAGCAGUAGGGAAUCUUCCACAAUGGACGAAAGUCUGAUGGAGCAACGCCGCGUGAGUGAAGAAGGGUUUCGGCUCGUAAAGCUCUGUUGGUAGUGAAGAAAGAUAGAGGUAGUAACUGGCCUUUAUUUGACGGUAAUUACUUAGAAAGUCACGGCUAACUACGUGCCAGCAGCCGCGGUAAUACGUAGGUGGCAAGCGUUGUCCGGAUUUAUUGGGCGUAAAGCGAGUGCAGGCGGUUCAAUAAGUCUGAUGUGAAAGCCUUCGGCUCAACCGGAGAAUUGCAUCAGAAACUGUUGAACUUGAGUGCAGAAGAGGAGAGUGGAACUCCAUGUGUAGCGGUGGAAUGCGUAGAUAUAUGGAAGAACACCAGUGGCGAAGGCGGCUCUCUGGUCUGCAACUGACGCUGAGGCUCGAAAGCAUGGGUAGCGAACAGGAUUAGAUACCCUGGUAGUCCAUGCCGUAAACGAUGAGUGCUAAGUGU
rnacentral:rRNA from 1 species